AUAACAACUAUAAGUGUAAAAAGGCCCACCUACAGGAGGUUCUGAAGUGCCCAUUCUAAGACUCUUAAACAAUAAUAUGGGCUUAAAACAGUUUUAAUCAAGGCUUGCUCUAGAUCUCUCUAGAUAAUCAUGUUCUUUCUGCACUGAACAAAAGGUUCGUAAUUUUUUUUUAUCCGGAAAAGAGUUUUACAAUGGCAAUAAUUAAAAUCAAAUAAUCUUACCGAAUCAAAAACUAAUUGAAUGAUUUUUUUUCAACCACGACCCAAAAAUAACCUUUCAUAUACAUUCUAAACAUCACAAUCGAUAUUUUUGGUAACGUUAUGGAUAAAUAUGUUGCGCUUUUAAUUUGAUCGAUUAGUUUUUCGAGAAACUUAUAUAUAAACUGCGCGCCCUUGUAAAUUUCAAAAAUAGAAGAUUUUAUGAGAUAUUUUAUGGAAUAAUAAAUUGUUCAAAUUUAUUUCAGCUAUUGUAUUCUAGUUUGCUACGUCAAUAUUUAAUCAAAUAUCCAAUUAAAAUAAUUUAACUAGGCGCAAUUGAUGGUAAAUAAUGGUUUUUAUUAUAAUAUUCGAUGAGAAAUCACAUUUAAACUUUCAUGAUUUCAUUUAAAAAUGGCGAUUCCUUGAAAUCAUCUCUUUGACUUGACGAAAUCUGCUAUGAAUCUAACAACUCUGGAUAAAUGUCAUUUCAAGUACAAAUGUUCUUCCAAAAAACAGUUUGGCACCUUAUAGAACCAAACGAUCUUUUGACGGAUCUUUAUAAGGGUUCUUAUUUCAGUGCAGCUGACGGUGCGACAAAAAAGAAAACAAAAUAAUCAAGAUAAACGAAAACUGCAAAAUUGCGAUCAAAAAAUAUUUUAUUUAUCGGUCUCGUAACUGAAAGAUUCGAGUACCUUAUUCUACGGUUUGGUGAUCUGGAGAAGUGGAGAAGGAUUUUGCCCAGCCAUCGAUCGGGAUCAUAGCACAAAAGUUGCAGGAAUGUUUCUGAAUUGCGAGGUUUUUCCGCUAAAUUGUAUCCGGAACAGAAUGUCAUCAUUUGUUGCGAAAAGAAAACGUCCGCCGGAAUUCUAAAACCAGCUGGGAAAUCACUACCCGCAUAAAUGAGGAUUGUAUCCAAACGAUUUCCUAAAUAGUCAAUCGACGAUUUGAUAAAGCGUAAAAAAACGUUUAGUAAACGAUUAUUUAAACCGUGAGAUUAAUUGGCUGAAUCGUGAAUUCCAAAUUCACAGUGUUUUUAAUAUGUCGUUAGGUUAUGUAAUUGUUAAAAACCGUUAAAACAUUUGUAUGGGAGAACUUUUCUUCAAACCGUUUGGUAAAGGUUGAAGAACCGAUUGUGCGUAGCAUAUUUAGAACAUCGAACUGUAGUUGUUAAAGUUAUUUUAUAGAGCUUUCAUACCUAACACGUUUACAUUAAUAGUUCUGUUACGAUUUGACUUUUACUUCAAUCAAACGUUAUGCAAACAGUUUUGGGAACCGUUCGUGAAAAGAGCACGCACACAAACGCAAAUAUUUUUCGUAACGCAUAUAAGGAAUUUUUCGGAUAAGAAUUUGAAAUUAUGAAUUUCAUUUUUUUAUUGAAUAAUUUAUUAACAUUACCAACUCACUUGUUCACCUGACCAUUUUUGUUUUCCUCUUGUUGACGUUUCAACUAGCACGACCUGUUGUAAGUUACGGCACUGGUUCCGGUGUCAGCGCCAUUCCUGUGCGUAGAUGAUCGGUACAGAUUUUCGUCUGCAUCAAUGGAGUUGCCGGAAUGAACAGCAAUCUAUAAUUUCCACCAAGAAGGAAGGGUCCGAAGCUGAAGUAAUCCAUAAGUCUCCGUUUUCGUAGUGCGGAGUAUUGGGGGGUUCCAGUAGCAUAACCUGAAACAUAUAAGUAUACGGAUAAUCGGAUUUUUUUUUUAAGAAUUUUAAUUUUACAUACCUGCAUUGCAUUCAUUUAAAUUUGAAUGCCCUGGGACGCUAAUUUCACCUGCUCCAGCAGAUUCAGCUCCGAAUAUCCACGCCAAGACGCCAAUCGAUACGAAUUAUUUAGUAAAAAAAAUCAACCCGCACGCUAACUUUUGGCUACCCCUUAAAGGCGUAAAAUUGACCCGUUAUUGAGAACCUCCACGAUCUGUCAAAUAACGGGUCAUUUUUUCGGGUCAAUAUUACCCCUUAUUUCAAAAAGCUCGAAUCCGCUUCGAAGGGGUAGAUUUAGAUGUUACAUUGAAUGCGUUAUUAUUUGUCCGGUGAUAUGGAAAAUUAACAGCACAGUUCCGGACGAGAACGGUAAAAAUUUGUAAGCCGAUGACUGAAACCGGAAACAUGGAUGUUGGAUAGUAAAUACUAAAUGGUGAAAAAAUUUAUUAAUUGUAAUUUUUGAAUAAACAAAAUGGAACAUGAUAUUUUGUGGUGAUUUAUUUCUCAGUAAACAUAUUUUUCAUAAGCAGCUCCUGAAAUUUCCACCAUACGAAAGCAUCUUAAAUAAGGGGUAAUUUUCAUCCGGUAUGAGCCUUUGAAAUAAGGGGUAAUUUUGACCCGCUACAAGCGUUAUGAGGCUGGGUACCCCUUAAAGGGUACAGCAACUUUAUCCUUAAAAAGGAGUUCUCCCAGUCUUAUUGAAUAACGGGUCAAAAGUAUUCGUUAAGGGGUAGCCAAAAGUUAGCGUGCGCGCGCGCAACAAAACAAAAUAACUGCUUGCGGCAGUGGUGCCAGGUUAAGUGUUUUAUCAAUAUUUGUACAGAUAUAAAUUAGAAUGCAAAAUUUAAAUGUAAUCUUUUUAGAUGAGUAGGAUUAUUUUAUAUUUGUUAGUUAAAGUUUAUAAUGUUAUGGACAUAUAACAAGCUAUAAAUUCAAUUAUGAAUGAAUCAAUUCAAAUCAAAAUUAAAAAACGAGAAUUGUAUACGCAAUGUGAACGCAAAUUCAAUGUUUCUAUGUCGCUUGCAUCUAUGCUAAAUGACAUAGGAUACAAAGUUCUCGCAAAUAUCUUUAAAAAAACGCUUGCUGUCGAUAACAGC